rnacentral:rRNA from 1 species
UGCCAGCAGCCGCGGUAAUACGGAGGGUCCAAGCGUUAAUCGGAAUUACUGGGCGUAAAGCGCGCGUAGGCGGUUUGAUAAGUUGGAUGUGAAAGCCCGGGGCUCAACCUUGGAACUGCAUUCAAAACUGUCAGGCUAGAGUACGGUAGAGGGGGGUAGAAUUCCACGUGUAGCGGUGAAAUGCGUAGAGAUGUGGAGGAAUACCAGUGGCGAAGGCGGCCCCCUGGAUCGAUACUGACGCUGAGGUGCGAAAGCGUGGGGAGCAAACAGGAUUAGAUA